GUAGGUGGCAAGCGUUGUCCGGAAUUAUUGGGGCGUAAAGCGCGCGCAGGCGGUCCUUUAAGUCUGAUGUGAAAGCCCACGGCUCAACGUGGAGGGGUCAUUGGAAACUGGGGACUUGAGUGCAGAAGAGGAGAGUGGAAUUCCACGUGUAGCGGUGAAAUGCGUAGAGAUGUGGAGGAACACCAGUGGCGAAGGCGACUCUCUGGUCUGUAACUGACGCUGAGGCGCGAAAGCGUGGGGAGCGAACAGGAUUAGAUACCCUGGUAGUCCACGCCGUAAACGAUGAGUGCUAAGUGUUAGAGGGCUUCCGCCCUUUAGUGCUGCAGCUAACGCAUUAAGCACUCCGCCUGGGGAGUACGGUCGCAAAGACUG
rnacentral:rRNA from 1 species